UGAGGUUGUAAAGAGUUAGGAGAAAUAGCUAGAGCUAAAGAUUUAUCAGUCAAGAGAUUCAAAACUACAAUUCAAGGAUGCUAAUGGUUUAUAGAUUAAUUCUAGAACUCGAUUUUAAUAAGUAAGCAAUCCAUCUUUCGCAUGCAAUUGCUAAUCGGAUGUCUAAGUCCAGUCUCAGCUGUCGCUUGUUGACUUGGAGCAAGUGUCGAUCGAUGCUAUGGCCUGAGCGUCGAUCGGUACUUUCUUAGACAAGCAUUAAUGACCUAAUCGAUUUACUUCAACUAGAUUCCUAGACCAACUCUCGUAUGCACCUAGGUAUCUAAUCCAGCAGAGUUCGGGUUCCGUUAAUUGAUUGCACUUUCGUGCCUCACAACUAUCCUAUGAUUCUAGGUUCAAACAAUUAGUCACACUGUCGUGCUAUUCUAACGUUUCCAGAUCCUUGUAUUACAAAUCACCCUGGUGUAGAGAUCUAUAGAUAAUCUAGCAAUCCUAAUUGAUUAUCAGUUUGCCAUUAAGCUCAUGAAAUCCCUAAACCUAACAAGAUGAAUUACUCAAACAUGCAAGCAAUAACACAAAUCAUAGUCUGAAUAAUAUAAUAAAUAAGAAAUCAGUGAUAAAACCAAUGGAGUUCCAAUCAAUCUCUGAAGGAGAAUUUAUCUUCUCUCCAAACCUAAGAGAAAACAAUAGAAUAGGAUAAUAGAAAGCAUGUAGCCCUCAACAAUGGCUUAGAAAUACAUAAAUAGGGUUUCUGAUCGUCCAUGAGUAUUUUGGUAACUUGGUGUGGCUUAUGUGCUUCAAACGGUCUUGAAAUAUGCUUGGCCCACGUUCUGGCAUCAAUAUUGUUCGAUGUCAAG
rnacentral:lncRNA from 1 species